UCAGUAGCAGUGCAAAGACAGCAGGGAGGAGAGUCAGAGAUGACAGAUCAUGUACUACAUAUGUAAGGUUAACACUUGACAGGCUUCGGUUUUGUUAUGGGCCUACACAAAUGCAGUGCAUUGGCUGUUUGGGAUGAUCAAACAAGAAGUGAUUGAUAGAAUGUAUCCUGCACUUUUUUUGCGGUCCGUCUUCCAGCGGGGUGAGAGAUCGUUUCCUACAUACACCGAGGGGGAAAUCAAGCCUUGCAAAUAUGCUUUGGAGUGUAUACCCAUGAGACGAACACGGAGCCGCGUUGACGUAUUCUAUUUUAAAAGCCUUCCUUCUGCCUGUGCCUGCUCUCCCCCCGCAAUAUAAUGGAUGUCAGGCUAACACGGUCUUCAGAGAGGACUGACUCACAGCCAGAUCAUUAAUAUAUGCCAGCAGCGGAGCCUCUGCAGUAAAAACAGGUGGCAGAGGAAGCAGGAAGAUUUAUUACAUCUCUCUCUGUAAAUACCAUUAGUUGGUCUGAGCAUCUGUGUUAUUACAUUUCUCUAUCUGUGUGUGCUCUGUGCUCGCUCAUGUGGACACAGAUCAUGUUUGGUUUCUGUGUGUGCGUGCACGCAUGUGUGUGCGUUGUGCCUUGUUCUGAGUGUUGUCGCCCAGUUGGUUUGCAUGUUGCAUCAUUAAAUCUGCCUAAAUAGGAACACACAGUAUGACUGCCACCAGUGAUCAGACAGAGAGCACACUACUACUGUGUUUUGCUCUCACAAAACUAUUUUUGUAGUAAACUGCUUUGAAAGACUAGUUCUGCCAGGAUCACUGCCUGUACAUCAGAGUAAAUACAUCAUCUGUGUCUAACUUCGGUCUUUAGAACAGAACAUAAGCUUGUAAAGAUCCUCCUGCUGGCUGAGGCUGCUGCAGUUGCAUCUCUAAAGAGGUUCACUACCUGCAUAGAGAUUCCAAAAUGUAAAUGGUAAAUGGACUUGCAUUUCUGUGGCACAUUUCCAGUCUACUGACCACUCAAAGUGUCUUACAACACUUGCCACAUUUACCCAUUCACACACACACAUUCAUACACUGACAACAACAUUUUUUGGUUCACAUUUUUAGCCAUUGCUGGCCAGCUGUCCUGAGUAUAAUUUUGUAAGGCUGAUCAUGGUCCCCAGAGGAUGGAUUCUGAUUACUCUGGUGGGAUCCUGACCUUUGUUCUCUCACAACCAGCAGGUCAGAGUUGUAACACACCCGGUGAAGUAUCAAACAUCUUCUGGUUUGGCACAGAUGUAGGUUCAGGCA